rnacentral:rRNA from 1 species
CAGCCGCCGCGGGAAUACGUAGGCAGCAAGCGUUGUUCGGAGUUACUGGGCGUAAAGGGUGCGUAGGCGGUUCUAUAAGUAUGGUGUGAAAUCUCCCGGCUUAACUGGGAGGGUGCGCUAUAAACUGUGGGACUAGAGUGUGGGAGAGGAAAGUGGAAUUCCUGGUGUAGCGGUGAAAUGUGUAGAUAUCAGGAGGAACACCGGUGGUGUAAACGGCUUUCUGGACCAUAACUGACGCUGAGGCACGAAAGCGUGGGUAGCAAACAGGAUUAGAUACCCCCGUAGUCCCUGUCUCUUAUAC